AGCCCCGGACGCGGGACCUGCCGCGCUACCCUGCAUAAAGAGCGCGGCGCUUCCGUGGCAGAGCGGGCCGGCCCAUCGGCGCCUGGCGCUCGGUUGCCUGGCGGUGUUGUCAAGCGCGGGGCAUGGCGGCAGCCGGCGCUGCGGCCAGGGCGGGGGAUGAGGCGGCCGGAGCGGGCUUGAUAGUCAACUGCUCAGGUCAAGGAUUACAAAAACUGGGUCCAACCUUGCCCUGUGAUGCUGAUACUCAGACACUGAUUCUGGACAAAAAUCAGUUAAUUAAAUUGGAACACUUGGAGAAAUGCAGGAAUCUGAUGCAGCUCUCUGUAGCCAACAACCGUUUGGUGCGAAUGAUGGGUGUAGCAAAACUGACCAAGCUCCGAGUGCUCAGCUUGCCUCAUAAUAGUAUUGGGUACGUGGAAGGGCUGAAGGAUUUGGUGCACCUGGAAUGGCUGAAUUUGGCAGGAAAUAACCUUAAGGUCAUUGAACAAAUAAAUUCCUGUCUCUCUCUUCAGCAUCUUGAUCUGUCAGACAAUAACAUAGCUCAAUUAGGCGAUCUCUCCAAGCUUACCUCACUGAAGACUCUGUUGCUACAUGGUAAUAUUAUAACUUCACUUCGCACUGCCCCUGCUUGCCUACCUCAGAGUUUGACUGUUUUAUCUUUGGCAGAAAAUGAAAUCAGAGACUUAAAUGAGGUUUAUUUCCUGGCCCCUUUUCGCCAGUUGGAACAGCUGUCAAUUAUGAACAACCCUUGUGUGAUGGCCACACCUUCUGUCCCUGGCUUUGACUACAGGCCUUAUAUUGUCAGCUGGUGUCUGAACCUUAAAGUUCUUGAUGGAUAUGUGGUUUCUCAGAAGGAAAGUUUGAAAGGAGAAUGGCUCUACAGUCAAGGGAAAGGAAGGUCCUAUCGACCUGGGCAGCAUGUUCAGCUAGUUCAGUACUUGGCUACUGUUUGUCCUCUCAUAUCUGCAUGUGGACUCCAGACUGAAGAGGAUGCCAAACUGGAAAAAAUACUGAGUAAACAAAGGCUCCACCAGAGGCAGUUGAUGCAUGAAAACCAGAAUGAGGAACCACCUACAUCUGCUCCCAGCAAAACAGUGCCAGUUGCUCAUGAGCACAGUGGCCUGGCCCAGCCAUCACAGAUGGUUCUUGAAAAGGAACCUGUCAUCCAGAGGAAUUCUUGGGUUGGACCAAGUGCAAACAAUGAUCAUUCCUAUGCAGUAAAGAACACUUUUCAUGAAAGAAGCUUUCCCAAGGAGCUACACCUUGAAGAUGUACAGACAGAUGAAGACAAACUAAACAGCAGCCUUUUAUCUUCAGAGUCUACUUUCAUGCCAGUUGCUUCAGGAUUGUCUCCAGUGUCUCCUGCUUCAGAUGUGAAACCACACAGAAUCAAUUUGGGCCUAGAAAAUGAUAACAAUAUAGUGAUAGAAAAUGUGAGAGAUGUUAGUAGUAGGGUAACAGCUAACAAGCAAGAAGCUUUGUCUGUUACAGGAGAGCACCGUAGUAGAGCAGCAGGAAGUGUGGAAACACGAGAGACUAUCAAAGAGAUCCUGCAGGUGCCUGCUCCUGAUCUAGUAACAGCUGGCCUGGCUGCAAAGACUGGCAACUCUUUAGCGGCCUCUGAAGGCCAAGUUUUGCACAGUUAUCCCAGCACCUCGUUAGGGGCUGAAUCAGGAGUAAAAACUCCUUGUCCUGGCCAGAUGACAGAAGAAAGGUCUGGUUCACUGGCUGUGCAAGGUGCGGCACCAGCCGAUCAAGGUGCAGCUGAACUGCAAAGGAUGACUGAAGCAGCUACCAAGCUUCAAGCUUCCUGGAGAGGAUUUUACACGAGGAACCACCAUCCUCAAGCCAAGGAAGUGCGGAAUGAAAUUCGACUAAACAGAAUGCAAGAGCACAUCAUUUACUUAACAGCUGAAGUAGAAAAACUAAGAAAAGAAAGAGAGGAAGAUAAAAUGCAGAGGCUUGUACAGGAGGAAGCUGUCAAAUUUCUUUGGAACCAGGUUAAGUCCCUUCAACAAUGGCAGCUUUCAGUGAUGCAGAAUUUAGGUGGUGCUGGGAUCCCUUCAGCCAGUCCUUUAUGUUCAUCCAAACCACCUGUUCAGUCAUCCACAGUGGAGCAAGAAACCCCACCAGCCGUUAGUUCUGCUUUGUUAGUUCCAGCUAGUGAGGAUGAUCUUCAGGAAAAGUCUUUGUUGCAGUUCCCAGAUUCUGGCUUUCACUCUUCUGCGGCUGAUCAGACUCAUGCCAGUGACCUGUAUAGCUCUGAAAAGAGCUUAGCUGAAGGAACUGAGAGCUCCCUUUCAAUGGAAACCAUCAAACAGUGUGGCAAUUGUGUUUUAGCAUGUUCUUCCGAUGUAGAGGAUGGCCCUGGGGAGUGUGGGCAAAGUAAAGAGAGCUCUAGUAAUGAGCAGGACAAUGGACUGUUACAACAGUAUUUAAAAUCUGUUCAGCAGCUGGAAGAGGCUGAUGAAGACACAGAUUGCAAUGAGGAAAUGGAGGGCAGCUGUCUACAAAUUGCUGUGUCUGCAGAAAGCCAAGAUUCUUCCUCUGACACUGUCUCUGUAGAGCUCCCUCAAGACACAUCUUCCCCUGUCCGAGGUGAAAUCUGUCAGACACCAGAAAGCUACAAACUGAAUUCAGAAAUAGUAGAAGGGAAGCAAACAGACCGUGAUUCUUCGUUUCAGAUGCUGCAUGUUGGGAUAGCUGUAUAAUAGGAUAAUUUCCUCAAAGGACUAGGGAUUCCAUUUCACUUUCUCUUUCUUUUUCCUGUUUAUACAGAACUUUUAUUUUUUAUGUGUGCUGUUUCAGAUUUUGACUCAUGUUACGAAUUUAUGUUGUAAUUACUGUUUUAUUGAUGUUGCUGAGGAUUGAUGCUAACUAUGCUAACCUGAAAUCAGCAAAGUUCUCAGUGGCAAUCAUUAUGCACUUUAUUUUCAAACAUAAAACUGGUAUUCUAAUAACUGGCCUCCAUUAAAUUACUUCUGAAGAUUGGAGGGGGGGGUGGAUGGUCAUGGUGGUAACGUUUGCUGUAAAUUCGCUUUGGUGAAUAUGUUAGUAUGUAUCUGUUUGGUUUUUUUUCCCUGCAAAGAAAGAUUGAGUUCUUAUUUUGCAAAGAGACGCAAACAAUAUGGGAAGAAAUGGAGUCAAUACAGGCAGUAUAUCCUGUCACAGGCAGGAUGCAGCCUGCUGAGGAAGAUGAAAAGUUGCUUUUCAGACUUCUUUUGACUUUAACAAGAGUAACUUGGUCAGUGUAUCAAAGAUGCAUUCCAGAAAACCAGUGUCUGAGUCAGUGACUUUUUUGUAAAUAACUUGAAGCUGUUGUUGAGGAAUUAGAUCACUUAUAUACACAGUGAAACAAGGACUUACAGGAGAGAGACCUCAGGAGCUUCAACAAGAAAGCCUUGACUUUUGUUUUCCCUGGGGUUGAAUUUCUCUGCCUUCUCAGGCUUCAUGUUCAGCAGAAGAAUGUACUUUGUAGAAGAAAAGCUUAUCUCUUGUGUUUUGUCCUGGGCUGAUCCUCCAGUGUUAGUGGGAGAGAUAACUUGGUUAUUGGCCAGGUAAUGUUGCCAGCUCUGCUGUGAGUACAGUUAAAAUGCUUCUUUAAUUUGCUUCAGAAAAUCAGAUAAAUAUAGCUCAGACUAUUUAAACUGCACCACACAAGUAGUUUUGCCCCAAAUGAGAUAGCUGGCACAUGAAAGUCUAUUUUCAGCUAGUCUGUGGCAGAAAUUACUCUUUUGCCUCUUUCUGAAUGCUGGGACAAGUGGUUCUAUAUACCAUAAAGCAAGAAGGCAUUACGACUGCAAAUUUUAUUUUGCUGUUUCUAAACCAAAAAUGUCCUUCCUUGAGAAAGUCCUUGCUAAACUAAAUUGCAGAAACCUGAUAGCUGUUGAUAGUUGAGUUUUUUAAACAACCAUAGGUUCUACUAUUUGCAUGCAGCAGUUUAAAUAAUGCACUUAGCAGCCAGUCUCUAUAUAAAAAAGUUGAGGUUUUUUCUGAAUAAUGUUUGUAUUUGAGCUUGCAAAAUGUUCCUGGUUUUUUAUGAGUUUGUAGAUAUUGUCUGAAUAAUUCCAAUUUUUGUUUCUACUUGUAGCAGGUUAUCUGAUGAACAAAAAUGGAAUAUAUGUUCCUUUGAGAUUACCUGGGUAAUUUUUACUGCACUUGAUGUUCUAGUGUAUCUCACACAGAUACACUUUUUCCUGAGAGGAUAGAAUUGUAGCAGUUAGGGGAGAUUGACUGAAUGACAAUAAAAUGUAAAACUGGGUCAAUUCCCCUGCUAGUGAAAAACACUUCCUUUUUUCCUUUUCCUGUGGUAUUAACUUCCCCCCUUUAAGAACUCUGCCACCCAAAUAAGUAUGCAUCAAGUAUUCAUAGAGUCUUUCAAAAUGUAUUAUUUUAAUAGUUACAUUUUUUUCCCCCCAGAUUGGCUUUCUAGGACAAGUUACUGAGAAACGCUUGCUUUCUAUAUGCCUACCAAAAACGUUGGGACUCUGCCUAUUUUUAAAUGUUUUCUUUUUCAGUAAUGAAAGAAGCACAGCAUCCCUUUCUUGCAAAAACCUAAACCACUAUUUAUCAGGAAAGGUGCUUUAUCUCUUGGAAAGUGCCGUGCCAAAUUUAUUAUGCAAGAGCUCUCAGUAAGAAUCUUUUUUUCUGGCUUCAUUGCAUUUAUAAGCAUGUAUACUUAUGUAUAUAAGUAUGGGCCAAAUUCAUUUGUAGCAUAAUUCUACUGAAUUAAAUUUUUUGAGACUUUCACAGGAGUAUUCUACCUCUAAAUAAGAAUUUGAGAAAAAAGAACAAUUGGGUAUUGAUUUGUCUUUCUCUUUCUUGCUGUUUUCUGUGAAGAAUGAUGGUAGUUAAAUUGGUACAGUUCAUAUAUUUUCUAUAAGUGUUUACAUUUUGGAUUUAUUGUUUCUUAAGUAUUUUGUUUGUAUCUCUGAGUUUUGA